GACGAACGCUGGCGGCGCGCUUAACACAUGCAAGUCGAACGGUGAAAGCGGAGCUUGCUCCGCUGGAUCAGUGGCGAACGGGUGAGUAACACGUGGGCAACCUGCCCCUGACUUCGGGAUAACUCCUCGAAAGAGGUGCUAAUACCGGAUACGAAUCCUGCAGGCAUCUGCGGGAUUGGAAAGUUUUUCGGUCAGGGAUGGGCCCGCGGCCUAUCAGCUUGUUGGUGAGGUAGUGGCUCACCAAGGCGACGACGGGUAGCCGGCCUGAGAGGGCGAUAGGCCACACUGGGACUGAGACACGGCCCAGACUGCUGCGGGGGGCAGCAGUGGGGAAUAUUGCGCAAUGGGCGAAAGCCUGACGCAGCAACGCCGCGUGAGGGAUGACGGCCUUCGGGUUGUAAACCUCUUUCAGCAGGGAAGAAGCGAAAGUGACGGUACCUGCAGAAGAAGCACCGGCUAACUACGUGCCAGCAGCCGCCGUAA
rnacentral:rRNA from 1 species